rnacentral:lncRNA from 1 species
UGUUGCUCUCUGUUGGACUAUUGUAAAAAUUAAAUUAUAUCUCUAAUCAUAAAAACAUUAUAUAUAUGAGGUUUAUUAAGGAUUAUUAGAAAUCAAGGAAUAAAGAAGAUACAAAAUAAAAACCAUGUGCCCAUGGCUGAUUAGCCCAUUUAAAACCCCCGCAUUUAGCUUACCACUAUACUUGCUGCAUCAUUUGCAAAGGAAAAAGGGCAUCGGAGGCGUUACUGCCAGUUAAAUACCAAUUGUGAUCUCACCAAUGUGGAGACUUAGAAGAGAUUAUAGGGAAUUCUGGGAAAUACCAAGAACUUCUGGGGACUGAAGUCUAGGGUUCAAAAUAUCCAUUUAUACACUAUGAUUAUUGUCAUAUAUGCUAUACCCACUCACCUCCAUUGUUUUAUGAUCUCCUAGAAACUGGAAACUGUACUGUCUUUUAUUUUUCAACUCCCAAUUCCCAGAGCAGGUUGUUCAACAAAGAAGACAAUAAAUAAAUUUUUGUUAAAUUAUUUAAAAUCUGAAAGGGUUGAGAACAUCAUAGAGCAUAAAAUGUCAGAGCCAAAGGACUCUAGAGAAUGUCUAGUCCAAUUCAAUGAUUUUGUAGAUGAAAAACAAGUCUGGAGAAGGGAAAUUAUUUAGGACUAUAAAAUGUUAAAAAAAAAAAAAAGGACUUGAGACAUGACUUAAUCUAAACCCUUCACUUUACAGAGAAGAUUUUUGCAACAGAGAGAUGAAGUGACUUCAUCUAAGAUCACACAUUGGAACCAAGAUUUGAUUCUAACUCUCCUCAAUCCUGUUCCAGUGCCUAAGCUGGGGAAGGAGAGCUGGCCAUGCACAAAGGACCAAUGACAUCACAGGGUGAUUUCUUGACUGGCAAGCGAAUUGAAUUUAAGGAAAGCAGAGCUGUACAAAGUUGUCAGCCUCCCUCUCUCUUCCACAGUCAUCCAAGUCCAGUGGCAAGACAAAAAUCAAGAUGACUAGUGAUGGCCUGGGAUGCACUGGAUGACGUAAGACAGACAGAAAAAUAAAUGUCUAUCCAUGAGGAACA